rnacentral:rRNA from 1 species
UUAACACAUGCAAGUCGAGGGGCAGCAUUUUAGUUUGCUUGCAAACUGAAGAUGGCGACCGGCGCACGGGUGAGUAACACGUAUCCAACCUGCCGAUAACUCCGGGAUAGCCUUUCGAAAGAAAGAUUAAUACCGGAUAGUAUACGAAUAUCGCAUGAUAUUUUUAUUAAAGAAUUUCGGUUAUCGAUGGGGAUGCGUUCCAUUAGUUUGUUGGCGGGGUAACGGCCCACCAAGACUACGAUGGAUAGGGGUUCUGAGAGGAAGGUCCCCCACAUUGGAACUGAGACACGGUCCAAACUCCUACGGGAGGCAGCAGUGAGGAAUAUUGGUCAAUGGGCGCGAGCCUGAACCAGCCAAGUAGCGUGAAGGAUGAAGGCUCUAUGGGUCGUAAACUUCUUUUAUAUGGGAAUAAAGUUUUCCACGUGUGGAAUUUUGUAUGUACCAUAUGAAUGAGGAUCGGCUAACUCCGUGCCAGCAGCCGCGGUAAUACGGAGGAUCCGAGCGUUAUCCGGAUUUAUUGGGUUUAAAGGGAGCGUAGGUGGAUUGUUAAGUCAGUUGUGAAAGUUUGCGGCUCAACCGUAAAAUUGCAGUUGAAACUGGCAGUCUUGAGUACAGUAGAGGUGGGCGGAAUUCGUGGUGUAGCGGUGAAAUGCUUAGAUAUCACGAAGAACUCCGAUUGCGAAGGCAGCUCACUAGACUGUCACUGACACUGAUGCUCGAAAGUGUGGGUAUCAAACAGGAUUAGAUACCCUGGUAGUCCACACAGUAAACGAUGAAUACUCGCUGUUUGCGAUAUACAGUAAGCGGCCAAGCGAAAGCAUUAAGUAUUCCACCUGGGGAGUACGCCGGCAACGGUGAAACUCAAAGGAAUUGACGGGGGCCCGCACAAGCGGAGGAACAUGUGGUUUAAUUCGAUGAUACGCGAGGAACCUUACCCGGGCUUAAAUUGCAACAGAAUAUAUUGGAAACAGUAUAGCCGUAAGGCUGUUGUGAAGGUGCUGCAUGGUUGUCGUCAGCUCGUGCCGUGAGGUGUCGGCUUAAGUGCCAUAACGAGCGCAACCCUUAUCUUUAGUUACUAACAGGUUAUGCUGAGGACUCUAGAGAGACUGCCGUCGUAAGAUGUGAGGAAGGUGGGGAUGACGUCAAAUCAGCACGGCCCUUACGUCCGGGGCUACACACGUGUUACAAUGGGGGGUACAGAAGGCGGCUACCUGGUGACAGGAUGCUAAUCCCAAAAACCUCUCUCAGUUCGGAUCGAAGUCUGCAACCCGACUUCGUGAAGCUGGAUUCGCUAGUAAUCGCGCAUCAGCCAUGGCGCGGUGAAUACGUUCCCGGGCCUUGUACACACCGCCCGUCAAGCCAUGAAAGCCGGGGGUACCUGAAGUACGUAACCGCAAGGAGCGUCCUAGGGUAAAACUGGUAAUUGGGGCUAAG